rnacentral:rRNA from 1 species
GACGAACGCUGGCGGCGUGCCUAAUACAUGCAAGUCGAGCGGAACUGGGGGAGCUUGCUCCUUCCAGUUUAGCGGCGGACGGGUGAGUAACACGUGGGCAACCUGCCCUGCAGAUCGGGAUAACUCCGGGAAACCGGUGCUAGUACCGGAUAGUUUGAGGCCUCUCCUGAGGCGCUACGGAAAGACGGUUUCGGCUGUCACUGCAGGAUGGGCCCGCGGCGCAUUAGCUAGUUGGGGGGGUAACGGCCCACCAAGGCGACGAUGCGUAGCCGACCUGAGAGGGUGACCGGCCACACUGGGACUGAGACACGGCCCAGACUCCUACGGGAGGCAGCAGUAGGGAAUCUUCCGCAAUGGACGCAAGUCUGACGGAGCAACGCCGCGUGAGUGACGAAGGUUUUCGGAUCGUAAAACUCUGUUGUGAGGGAAGAACACGUACCAACUAACUAUUGGUACCUUGACGGUACCUCACCAGAAAGCCACGGCUAACUACGUGCCAGCCGCCGCCGUAA